rnacentral:rRNA from 1 species
AUUGAACGCUGGCGGCAUGCCUUACACAUGCAAGUCGAACGGCAGCGGGGGAGAAGCUUGCUUUUCCUGCCGGCGAGUGGCGAACGGGUGAGUAAUACAUCGGAACGUGCCCUGUAGUGGGGGAUAACUAGUCGAAAGAUUAGCUAAUACCGCAUACGACUUGAGGGUGAAAGUGGGGGACCGCAAGGCCUCAUGCUAUAGGAGCGGCCGAUGUCUGAUUAGCUAGUUGGUGGGGUAAAGGCCUACCAAGGCGACGAUCAGUAGCAGGUCUGAGAGGACAAUCAGCCACACUGGGACUGAGACACGGCCCAGACUCCUACGGGAGGCAGCAGUGGGGAAUUUUGGACAAUGGGCGAAAGCCUGAUCCAGCAAUGCCGCGGGUGUGAAGAAGGCCUUCGGGUUGUAAAGCACUUUUGUCCGGAAAGAAAUGGCUCUGGUUAAUACCUGGGGUCGAUGACGGUACCGGAAGAAUAAGGACCGGCUAACUACGUGCCAGCAGCCGCCGUAA